UAGCCUCUGCAGUGCACACAAAAGCAAAUAAAUAUUAUUUGAUAUUUCAAAACAUGAAUGAGUUUUAAAGCAUCAGUACAUCUAAUCAUAUACAGAGUAUGUAUUUAUCAAAGACCCGAAAAGAGGAAAAAAAUUAUAAUAACCCUCUUCAGCAAAACAUGUUACAAAACAGUAAAUAAUUGUUCCAUGCAUGGUAAAUGCAAAGUAAAGUAUGCCUAUUAGUACCCUUCUACUACUUUACUCUUGACCAGUGGGUUGUGAAACAAAUAUAGUCUCAUUCAAAAACAAAGGUUGCAGCGAAUACAAACUCCUAUAGAUAAGAUAGCCCUUAGCAGCAGCUCUAAAGAAAGCUCCAGUUUAGCACCUAAAAUUAAUAAAUAUUGUUAAAUGCUAGGAAAUUGAUCAAAUUAGUCAGCCAGCUAGUCAAUUCCAUAAGCACUACAUAGUCCUAACAUCCUUA
rnacentral:misc_RNA from 1 species